AACGAACGCUGGCGGCAGGCUUAACACAUGCAAGUCGAGCGCCCCGCAAGGGGAGCGGCAGACGGGUGAGUAACGCGUGGGAAUCUACCCAUCUCUACGGAAUAACGCAUGGAAACGUGCGCUAAUACCGUAUACGUCCUUCGGGAGAAAGAUUUAUCGGAGAUGGAUGAGCCCGCGUUGGAUUAGCUAGUUGGUGGGGUAAAGGCCUACCAAGGCGACGAUCCAUAGCUGGUCUGAGAGGAUGAUCAGCCACACUGGGACUGAGACACGGCCAAGACUCCUAGAGAAGGCAGGAGUGGGGAAUAUUGGACAAUGGGCGCAAGCCUGAUCCAGCCAUGCCGCGUGAGUGAUGAAGGCCCUAGGGUUGUAGAGCUCUUUCACCGGUGAAGAUAAUGACGGUAACCGGAGAAGAAGCCCCGGCUAACUUCGUGCCAGCCGCCGCCGUAAUAC
rnacentral:rRNA from 1 species